UACGUAGGGGGCAAGCGUUGUCCGGAAUCAUUGGGCGUAAAGCGCGUGUAGGCGGCUUGGUAAGUCCGCUCUGAAAGCCCGGGGCUCAACCCCGGGAGGCGGGUGGAUACUGUCAAGCUCGAGUCCGGAAGAGGCGAGUGGAAUUCCUGGUGUAGCGGUGAAAUGCGUAGAUAUCGGAAGGAACAUCAGUGGCGAAAGCGACUUCCUGGACCAAUACUGACGCUCAUGUGCGAAAGCGUGGGGAGCAAACAGG
rnacentral:rRNA from 1 species